AUGUAUUCCCAGUUCAUGCUCCGUGUCCCCUGUGUGAGAAAUGUAUUCCCAGUUCAUGCUCCGUGUCCCGUGUGAGAAAUGUAUUCCCAGUUCAUGCUGCGUGUCCCCCGUGUGUGAGAAAUGUAUUCCCAGUUCAUGCUGCGUGUCCCCCGUGUGUGAGAAAUGUAUUCCCAGUUCAUGCUGCGUGUCCCCCGUGUGUGAGAAAUGUAUUCCCAGUUCAUGCUGCGUGUCCCCCGUGUGUGAGAAAUGUAUUCCCAGUUCAUGCUGCGUGUCCCCCGUGUGUGAGAAAUGUAUUCCCAGUUCAUGCUGCGUGUCCCCCGUGUGUGAGAAAUGUAUUCCCAGUUCAUGCUCCGUGUCCCCCGUGUGUGAGAAAUGUAUUCCCAGUUCAUGCUGCGUGUCCCCCGUGUGUGAGAAAUGUAUUCCCAGUUCAUGCUGCGUGUCCCCCGUGUGUGAGAAAUGUAUUCCCAGUUCAUGCUCUGUGUCCCACAUGGACACGGCUCUGCACUUUGGAAUCACACACACGUCCAGGCUGGAGAGGACUCAGACUUGGCAACAUGACCGCUGUCCCAUGAGGUAGCAGACAGAGCGUGUGUCCACGGGCCACCCAGUGCUCCCACCGAGAAGUCAUAUCCCACAGGCUCACAGAUUAGAGUCUCGAGGCCCCGUCCAAUGACGGGAAUUCACGGACACCGUAUUUCCAGUUGCCCAGAUGAGAGGAACACCUGUGUGGGUGAGAACCACAGACCCAGCACCGCUACUCCUGCACCUCCCAAAAGACUUAGGGGACUUUGGAAGGGCCCAAGGUGAUGGGAACGAAAACAGCCUGGAUCUUCUGAUCUGGGAGUCAUCUGGAGGAGGAGGAUGAGCUCACAGGAUCACGCAGCCCUCUGUGACAGCGCAAGUCCCACCGCACCGGGAAAUAAGGAC